rnacentral:pre_miRNA from 1 species
GGAACAACAUUCGGGCUAUCGGUCUACCGAGCAAUAUGACCCGCUCGGUGGAAGAUCUUUCCUCUGUCGUUAAGC